GGGUUCCCAGAGCCAUUCCCAGUGCAGGAUCCCAGAGCCAUUCCCAGUUUGGGAUCCUGGAGCCGUUCCCAGUUUGGGAUCCCGGGGCCGUUCCCAGUUUGGGAUCCCAGAGCCGUUCCCAGUUUGGGAUCCCGGGGCCAUUCCCAGUUUGGGAUCCCGGGGCCGUUCCCAGUUUGGGAUCCCGGGGCCGUUCCCGGGGCCGUUCCCAGUUUGGGAUCCCGGGGCCGUUCCCAGUUUGGGAUCCCGGGGCCGUUCCCGGGGCCGUUCCCAGUUUGGGAUCCCGGGGCCGUUCCCAGUUUGGGAUCCCGGGGCCGUUCCCAGUUUGGGAUCCCGGGGCCAUUCCCAGUUUGGGACCCCGGGGCCAUUCCCAGUUUGAGAUCCCGGGGCCGUUCCCAGUUUGGGAUCCCGGGGCCGCUCCCGGGGCCGUUCCCAGUUUGGGAUCCCGGGGCCAUUCCCAGUUUGGGAUCCCGGGGCCGUUCCCAGUUUGGGAUCCCAGAGCCGUUCCCAGUUUGGGAUCCCGGGGCCGUUCCCAGUUUGGGAUCCCGGAUCCGUUCCCAGUUUGGGAUCCCAGAGCCAUUCCCAGUUUGGGAUCCCGGGGCCACUCCCGGGGCCGUUCCCAGUUUGGGAUCCCGGGGCCGUUCCCAGUUUGGGAUCCCGGGGCCAUUCCCAGUUUGGGUUCCCGGGGCCGUUCCCAGUUUGGGACCCCGGAGCCAUUCCCAGUUUGGGAUCCCGGAGCCAUUCCCAGUUUGGGAUCCCGGAGCCGUUCCCGGUUUGGGAUCCCGGGGCCGUUCCCGGGGCCGUUCCCAGUUUGGGAUCCCGGAUCCGUUCCCAGUUUGGGAUCCCGGGGCCGUUCCCAGUUUGGGAUCCCGGAGCCGUUCCCAGUUUGGGAUCCCGGGGCCGUUCCCGGUUUAGGACCCCGGGGCUGUUCCCGGGGCCGUUCCCGGUUUGGGAUCCCGGAGCCAUUCCCAGUUUGGGAUCCCGGGGCCGCUCCCGGGGCCAUUCCCAGUUUGGGAUCCCGGGGCCGCUCCCGGGGCCGUUCCCGGUUUGGGACCCCGGAGCUGUUCCCAGUUUGGGAUCCCGGGGCUGUUCCCGGUUUAGGACCCCGGAGCCGCUCCCGGAGCCGCUCCCGGAGCCGUUCCCGGUUUGGGACCCCGGGGCCGUUCCCGGUUUGGGAUCCCGGAGCCGCUCCCGGGGCCGUUCCCAGUUUGGGAUCCCGGAGCCGUUCCCGGUUUGGGACCCCGGAGCCGUUCCCGGGGCCGUUCCCGGGGGUCCCGCCGCCCCCGGCCCCGCCCGUUCCCCGCCGUUGGCUCCGCCCGGGGCAGCUCCGACCGGGGGCGGGCGGGGAACUGGAAAGGGAAGCGGCGGAUGCUCCGCGCCGGUUCCGACCGGGACCGGCGGCUCCUACCGGCACCGGUACGAGGGCCUGGGGGGGGACCUGGAGGGGUCCGGGGGGGUCCCGGGGCAGCGGGAGCCCCGGGGCGGUGUCCCGGUACCGGGCGCGGCUGCGCGGGGCACCGGGCGGCGGCGGGCCGGUACCGGGGGAACUCUGGUACCGGGAAUGGCCCCGGGACGGCACCGGGGCAACUCUGGUACCGGGAAUGGCCCCGGGACGGCACCGGGGGCUCCGGGACGGUACCGGGGGAACUCUGGUACCGGGAAUGGCCCCGGGACGGCACCGGGGGAACUCUGGUACCGGGAAUGGCCCCGGGACGGUACCGGGGGAACUCUGGUACCGGGAAUGGCCCCGGGACGGCACCGGGGCAACUCUGGUACCGGGAAUGGCCCCGGGACGGCACCGGGGGCUCCGGGACGGUACCGGGGGAACUCUGGUACCGGGAAUGGCCCUGGGACGGCACCGG
rnacentral:lncRNA from 1 species